CAGAGUUUGUUCUGCUGCUGCCAGGUCUUUCUCUCAACAUAGAGUUUACAUUUCAUAAUGACCAUUUCAUUUCAUUAUAAAUGUCAUUUAUAUUUAUUUUGGACAGAAAAAGGUUAAGAAGUGUGUGGCAAUUUGUAAAUAAUAGUAAUAAUCUACAAUUAAAACCCCAUAUUUUACUCAUUAAUGGAGCUGUGCAAGUCACUGCAUUUUCUAUAACACUGUCCUGCAAAUAUUUCAGA